rnacentral:lncRNA from 1 species
UAUAAUUUUCUCUUUAAUCUGUGCAUUAUUUUAGCUUCCUUAUCAGCCAACAUAUUCUCACAAAAACUUUCUCCUCAGGUGAUCUACAUUAGUCAAAUUGCUAGAUCAUAGUCUUAGAAAACAAACAAGAGGUAUGGUCACAUACACUCAUCCCUCUGCUUAUAUCACAUAAACAUCAUUUAACCAUAAUUUUACAAGACAUACAUUCAUAAAUGACCCAUGAUGCACUUUCUCAAUAGCUACUUUUUCAUAAUGUCGGGAAGAUCAAACACACGAGACGGCCGACAAAUUGAAGGUAUGGCAACAACUCCAGCAACUUGCAUCCAAUAUACGCCGGCGACACCCAAACGAUCACAGGCACAAAGAAACGUCCAACGAACUGAAGACACAACAUCAGCACCAUCAGCCUCAGGUAAUAUCCCGAUGCAAUUCUUCAUGUGUGUGCCUGCAUUUUGAUCUCAGCUCAACAUUGCGUCAAAACUCCUCUCAUACUGAACUAUAAAGCUCUUUUUUUUCAUGCAUCCUAACACUACCAUGAUAAUAAUGUGAAAGCUACAAAAAGAGCAACAUGGUUGAACAAUUAUUGAUUUUUAGUUCCCUACCAGGUAAACAACAUUAAUCUCCAGAUGUACUGUAUGUGACAACGUCCAUUAGUAGUCAUCACCAAAUGCACUUGCAUGCCUGCAAAAGCAAAACACUAUUAAGUACUCUCUCUGUAGAGAUAUAAGAGUGUUUAGAUCACUACUUUAGUAAUCAAAACAUUCUUAUAUUUCUUUAUGGAGGGAUUACAAAAUAAAUCAUAUUACAUGAUACUAUGUUAAGGAAACUAUACGCACUGACGAAAUCACAUUUGCAGAUAUGAGAGUCCAACAUACGUUAGACCCAGCAGCUCACCAGACAAAAAGAAAGAAAGAACAACCUCUAAACUCAAGGAGUACAAAGCGGACAAGGACUGCAGAGGGAAGAAGAAAUGCGAACACAGAGGCUCCUAAACGAUUGAGAAAGGCUAAUGCUGAAGAAGAUAGGGAAUUGAAGCGCGCCAGAAGCGAAACCAACAGAAACAACACUAGAGUCAAUGUUGGAGACAACAACAGAACCAGAACCUCGACAAGUGCUAAUAGCAAGCCAUGGAACUUCGGAAGGCCAACAUACAAAUGCCAAUAUUGCAAAGCAUUGCUAUGGUGUGAAGAAAGAUUAAAUUCAAACAAAGGAACUACGGCACCCUCUUUUGGAAUAUGCUGCAAACAAGGGAAAAUCGAUCUGCCGCCACUAAGAGAACCUCCACCAUACCUUAGAAACCUCUUAAGAAGUGAAGGGCAGGAUUCGGUAAACUUCAAAGAAAAUAUAAGGUCAUACAACUCAAUGUUUUCAUUCACAUCGAUGGGAGGAACUGUGCACAAGGAAAUAAACACUCGCAAAGGACCUUAUGUUUUUCGUUUGCAUGGACAAAACUACCACCAUAUCGGAACUCUUUUGCCUCAAGGUACAGACAAACCUCGGUUUGCACAUCUAUACAUCUAUAAUACCGAAAAUGAGGUGGAAAACAGGAUAAGUGCGUCAAGAUGCAAUGAUAAAAAAUCAACAGUGGACCCCAACAUCGUCAAAGAACUGAAAAUAAUGCUCGACGACAACAACAUCCUCGCAAAAACAUUCAGAAUGGCAAGAGAUAGAUUCCAAGAAGGAGACUACCAUGAUUACACACUUCGGAUACUAGGCAAAAGGAACGGAACACACAACCUUCCACCCACAUCUGAAGUUGCAGCAUUGGUAGUAAGAGAUCCAACCGGAGAGAGUGAAGGACGUGACAUUGUUGUUGAGUACAAAAAUAUGGAGCCGCAAAGGAUAUCAGAGAUCCACCCGAAAUUCAUGUCCAUGCAAUAUCCGUUGUUGUUCCCAUAUGGAGAAGAUGGUUUUAAACUUGAGAUACCCUACAAGAAAACAAAAGGAGGUACAAAUAGCAGGAAAUACGUAACGUUGUUGGACUACUAUGCAUUCUACCUACAGCAACGUCCUGAUCAAGGAAUGUUACUACUCAAGUCUAG